rnacentral:rRNA from 1 species
GACAGAGGCCUCGAGCGUUAGGCGGAAUUACUGGGCGUAAAGCGCGUGUAGGCGGCUCUUCAAGUCAGGCGUGAAAGCCCCGGGCUUAACUCGGGAACUGCGCUUGAUACUGUCGAGCUAGAGUGUGGAAGGGGCGAUUGGAAUUCCGUGUGUAGCGGUGAAAUGCGUAGAUAUACGGAGGAACACCAGAGGCGAAGGCGGAUCGCUGGGCCAACACUGACGCUGAGACGCGAAAGCUAGGGGAGCAAACGGG